rnacentral:rRNA from 1 species
ACGAACGCUGGCGGCAUGCCUAACACAUGCAAGUCGCACGAGACCUUCGGGUCUAGUGGCGCCCGGGUGCGUAACGCGUGGGAACCUGCCCUUAGGUUCGGAAUAACUCCCCGAAAGGGGUGCUAAUACCGGAUAAUGUCUUCGGACCAAAGAUUUAUCGCCUUUGGAUGGGCCCGCGCUGGAUUAGCUAGUUGGUAGGGUAAAAGCCUACCAAGGCGACGAUCCAUAGCUGGUCUGAGAGGAUGAUCAGCCACACUGGGACUGAGACACGGCCCAGACUCCUACGGGAGGCAGCAGUGGGGAAUAUUGGACAAUGGGCGAAAGCCUGAUCCAGCAAUGCCGCGUGAGUGAUGAAGGCCUUAGGGUUGUAAAGCUCUUUUACCCGGGAUGAUAAUGACAGUACCGGGAGAAUAAGCUCCGGCUAACUCCGU